rnacentral:lncRNA from 1 species
AUGGCUGGGUAUGGGACCCUCCUCCAGGAUCUGACCAACAAUAUCACCCUUAAAGAUCUGAAACAGCACAAGUCAACCUGUAAGAAGGACAUCCCCAGUGAAAAGAGUGAGGAGAUCACUACUGGCGAUGUCUGGUUUAGCUUCCUGAAGAGCCACUAGCCGGACAAAGACAACCUCUCCUACACUAAGCACAUCUUUGAGAUAUUGACGAAAAUUGUCUUGUGCUCAAUGUAGG